AAGAGACUUGUGGUCUCCUUAAGAUCCUCUUGGAGAAGAAACAAUGGAAUCAUUGCAUCGUUCUUUGAUUCACAAUCGGCUUCUCAAAACAGUUAGAGUUACGACUCUCUCAAGAAUUUUUUUAGACACAUCUCAAGAAAAUUUGUUUUAUCAAUUCGUGAACAUAUUCUUCGUUAUUCUUGGGAAAGAACUGAUAGUUUCAUGUCAAUAAUGGAAUAUUUUUUGCCCCCUUUUACCCCUUUUCAGCUUAAAGUGUAGGAAUAUUAUGGUCUCUCCCUUAUCGCUUCCAAACAAAUUGCAUCGACAAGAAUUCUUAUAUUUUUUGUUGGCAGUGUAUGGCGGUGCUUUUUGUUAUGAGAUCAAGCACAUGCUAGAGCCUUCUAGCUCAGAUGAGCUCUCUUGUGCCGAUUACUUCUAUAUCCACGGAGUCAACAUGAAGAACGAUUCUGGCCUUGAAGGUCUCAUGAAGAUGGUAGAUCUUG
rnacentral:lncRNA from 1 species